UUAUGCUCAAUAUACCCAUUCCCCUCCUCUCCCAUAAAAGAGUUUGGAAUUUGCAUUGGGAGAGGGCAAAUCAAACAGUUCAGUCUAUGCAGCAGAAAAAGCUCUUAUAUUUUGAGGUGCAAGUGUGAGAAAUACAUACAGCAAAUCAAGAUUCAAUUUGACUGCAUCCACAAUUAGAGCAAGCCUCUGCAAGGAAGUUCAGGUUCACUUCAUUUAUGAAGUGUAGCUCACUUUAUUUUACCGCUGUUGUUAUAUCCUCUUGCCUUAGAAGAUCUUUCUGCCAAAGGAGACAAGUUUUUUUAAGCCUAAACUUACAGUCCAUAAAAUGUAUGACUUCAUUCCAUAAAUAUGGGGUAGCAUAAAGCAGUUGCUGCUAAAGUGCUGUAUAAAAGCAUCCUGGUAAUAAUAAAUGUUGAAAGGCCAGAUUCAGCAUCCUGUCUGACUUUUCAUCAUUAUCACUUGACAGUUGCAUAUGUUUUUAGUUUAUAUUUCCUACAAUAAUGUCCUUUAUGAAGAACAGGAAACAUAAAAAUCAGGGCUUAAGACCAAAAGUGUCAAAGCACUCAGUAGCAGACAGCAUUAGCUUAGCUCUUUUGUACAGAUUUGCAAAUUACUGCAUGCAGAGCUACCUUGUUAGCAUGGAGUUCGGGCACUCAGGAGUCAAAGGACUGUAUUUUGUUCGACAUGACUCAUUGUCAUGGUCAAGAUGCCUGAAUGUGCCAUAGGAAACCCACUGUUGGGCAUGGCAUUAAAGUACUAAGUAAAAUAAACACUGAUCACAAUCCUGCUUCCAAAGUCAAUAAGCUUAAUUUACAUGGAAGUGAAUUCUCCUUUUUCAGUCACAAGGAUUUCUGGAAAGCUGUAACAAAUGAAAGCCAGCAUGUUUCUCCCUGCCAUUCUCUACCCACAGUGAAAUAACAGGAAAAUAAAGCAUGCAGUGUAAUCCAGCUCUAACAGGCCAUUUCAGUAGUUAAUUUCUUUUAGGUUUUUUUAAAGGGAGCAGGAUGCUUGCUGUGGACAUUAACAUUUUGCUACCCAGAAUUCUUUUCAUGUCAUCGCUAUUACAGAAUAGUGCUAUUGUUAAAAUCCAAAAGAUACUGAAGGUUUAAGAAGACCAUUCCGUUAGCUUCAAAACAUUUUUGUUUUAAAGAAAACAAAACAAAACAAAUAGCAUGCAAGAACCUCAGCUAACACAGUUAAUCAGAUGAAAGAUAGAAACUGAUACACAAUUUUCCUGCCAAUGAUGCGACCAUAAAGAAAAAUAUUGAACAAUUUCAGCAACGCAUCUAUAUUUAUAUAUUCCAAUUUCCACUGUGAUCUUCAAAGUAAUAAAUGAUCAAGGAGUUAAGAAUCCUACCCUUUGACAAACUACAGUGCUCUAUGCUGUAUGAAUCAGUACAUCCCAAGAUCGUACUUUCAAGCAUCUGAAUUCCCAGCAGGUUAAGGGUUGGCAGUGGAGAGUUUUUGAUGUUAAUUAGACUUGAACCUUCAUUCAUUGCAUGCAAGUGGGUUCCAACCUCUACAAGGGACUGCACUGGCCUGUACAUAUACCUCCACUCAACCAGCAAUUACUGUCUUCUAAGGGAGACAUUCUUCUUUCCAGCCAACAUUAAGCAGAGGGACAGACUGGGACAUAAACUUUUCUCAGUACCAGUAAACCAGUGCUUCUUCACGAGGCUGAUGAAAGUUAUCACAGCCAGUUCUGCAGCUGAAUCAUAUCCAUAGAUCCUCUGGAGGCGGUUGUGUGAACAGACCACUGCUGAACGCCAGCAAUUCUUGACAGGCCCUCCUGAGAACACACCUGAGCCAGCCCUAAGGAUGAGAACCAUGAGUACAUUAGCAGGGAAGAAUCACUGUGCCUUCCUUCCCCUUCAGAGUAUAAGAAAAGACAUCCAAUGGGUACCCAGCUUGUACCACUCAGACACCAGGAAUGUAAAAAACCAGAUGUAAAAAACAAAGACUUUGCCUUCAGAGCAUCUGCAUGGUUUCUAGAACUCUGAUUUUGACUGUAGCAAUACUAUAAAAUAUUUCUCUUAAAUAAGAUCACAGAAAAACAAAUAAUGUCAUAUUUUUUCUUCACUACUUCUAACAAAGUACUGCUUCUGCAUUU
rnacentral:lncRNA from 7 species